rnacentral:tRNA from 1 species
CUGCGAGGGCAGGAUUCGAACCUGCAGUCUUCAGGGCCUGACGAGUCAACCAAUUACUCUACCCUGCCUCGCU